AGAAGCUUGGCUGUGAGGAUGAGAGCUCUUAUUAAUCUGUAAAUAUCUUCUAUGAAAGCAAAAGGAAAAUUAUUGAUGACAAAAAGUCUUUGUGAUUUUUGCUAAGUUUAUAUAUUACAUCUUUCCAUCUCACCAACUUUCAGGUGGAGAGAGUUUUAGAAGGAACUUGCUCCUCCCCCACUUGUUGGACAGUCUCUUGGGAACUGAGGCACAGACAAACUAAGUGACUUCAAAUUUCCACAGGAAGUCUGCGGUCAACGAGGGACUUGCAUCCAGGUCUCACAAACCCCCAGGGAGGGUCCUAAUUGCUGGGCUAUUUUUCCUCUUUGCUUAUAAUCAUGACAGAAGUCACAGAAGCUAUUUUUUCUCUCUUUCGUUGCCUGUUUUUACAAUAAAUGUAACAUCCAAAGACAAAGGCAGCAACAAAUUGCAAAAAUGUUACUUUACUUCUGGUGUCUUACCAGCAGUAUGAUCACAUCUUUCAAAGCCAC